rnacentral:rRNA from 1 species
AUAACUCGGAGGAAGGCGGGGAUAGACGCAAGUCAUCAUGCCCCUUAUGUCCAGGGCUGCACGCAUGCUACAAUGGGUGAUACAACGGGCUGCCAACCUGCAAAGGUGAGCGAAUCCCUUAAAGUCAUCCUCAGUUCGGAUUGGAGUCUGCAACUCGACUCCAUGAAGCCGGAGUCGCUAGUAAUCGUGGAUCAGCAAAGCCGCGGUGAAUACGUUCUCGGGGCUUGUACACACCGCCCGUCACACCAUGAGAGUUGGUAACACCCGAAGUCCGUGAGGUAACCGUAAGGAGCCAGCGGCCGAAGGUGGGAUUGAUGAUUGGGGUGAAGUCGUAACAAGGUA